rnacentral:rRNA from 1 species
UACGUAGGGUCCGAGCGUUGUCCGGAAUUAUUGGGCGUAAAGAGCUCGUAGGCGGCCUGUUGCGUCCGCUGUGAAAGCCCGGGGCUUAACCCCGGGUCGGCAGUGGAUACGGGCAGGCUAGAGGUAGGUAGGGGAGACUGGAAUUCCUGGUGUAGCGGUGAAAUGCGCAGAUAUCGGGAGGAACACCGGUGGCGAAGGCGGUUCUCUGGGCCUUACCUGACGCUGAGGAGCGAAAGCGUGGGGGAGCGAACAGG